rnacentral:lncRNA from 14 species
CAUCUGGGCUGGUGUGAUGGCUUGAACAUAAGGGACACAAGACUUCUUGUUUGCCUGGAGCUAAAAGAAUGCAUUUAAGGCAGGGGUCCUGCUUGAAGAAUGACACUCCAGCAGAUGAGACAGACAAGAAGAGAGGCUUCAGUGCCAGCCAAACACUAGGAUCCAGGUUGAGGCUCAAGUAAUUGAUGUACAGAGAGUGUCACUAACACACUGCAGGACCUGGGCUCAACAAGACACAGGCCAGACAGCCUUUUCCCCAGGUCUGGAUGGCAUGAGAGUACCAUUGACUGCUUGGAAAUUGCUUUGAGGUAUGUUUUAACUUCAUUUUGCUCUUAA